CCAGCUGGUCGCGGCCAUCGUGUUCAUCAGCUUCGGCGUGGUGGCGGCCUUCUGCUGUGCCAUUGUGGACGGCGUGUUCGCAGCUCGGCACAUAGUUCCAAGUGAAGGAGAAAUGAGAGUGACGAGGAUGGCGAGCAUAAAGGUAUUGACGUCCGCUACCAUCGGUCAAGGCGACCAGUCAAAGCGGAUGUAACAUCCAUGGCCAAAUUAGAUGCCCGUCAUGUGUGACUGCCUUUGACCUUGGAUGCUGGACAUAAGAGCCGGCGGGGCCGGUGCUGGCUCGGCCUCUGCCGUGUGCCGGGCGAACCGUGUCGACCUUCCCACUGUCCCGUCCUGCUAAAGGACAGCAGCUGCUGGUUGUUCCCUGAGACCCCGUGACAGACGUCUGCAGCCUGAGGAGUGCUGGGCCGGGAGCAAAUGGACAGCAUGUCCCUGCUGCCCCGUGGCCUCUGAGCUCACCAGUGAGCACACCGCUCAGCGACGGCCUCAGGGGGGCACCUCCCACGGAAUGCUCUGUCCCCACAAAUCCUCGUGUUGAAACCUUGCCCCGGAGGUGAGGGUGACUGGGGUGCAGCCUUUGGGAGGUCAUGGGGUGGGGCCUUUGUGAAGGGACCUCCUCCUCGAGGGCGAGCCCACACUGUCCCUGAGCCCGGAGCUGACUUCCCACGAGAUGCCGGAUCUGGCGGCCCCCGACCUUGGACUUCCAGCUGCCGGACCACCAGGAACACAUGUCUGUUGCUCACUAACCCCAGUUCAUGGUACCUUCGUGGCAGAAACCCACAUGGACUGGGAAAUUGGUACCAACCGUGGGUACUGCCUGGGGUUCCCAGGGCCAAGCCAAGCCCCUGGGGUGGGGGAGGGGACCCUUCCUCUGUUUCUGUGUCAUGUGGCCUCUGCCGACAGAUGCAGGCGAGGAAGAGCCUCCCAGGAUAGCCCUGGCCUGUGGGGUGGCCGGGCCCCUGCAGGGCUCCCAUGCGGCCCCGGGCCGUGCGGGCCAGCUGGCGCCUGGAAGGGGCAGAGGCCAGAACCCAGCCAGAGUCCCAUGGCUGUCCCUCUCGGUGUUCAUCGUUUUCAAGUAUUUACGUUUCUAGCACGUUUUCCGUGUUUCUCUAUCCUUUGUCUCACACUUCUGUUUCUCAGUUUUUAUUUUUGGAAAGAUUGUUUGAGUUACGAGUCCCCAGCCAGUAUUUGCUCUCAUGGUUCUGGGGCACUUCCCUUGGUUAGAACAGAAAGCAUGUCCUUUGAUCUGAAUCUGAUUUC